rnacentral:rRNA from 1 species
ACAUGCAAGUCGAACGAUGAACUGGUGCUUGCACUGGGGAUUAGUGGCGAACGGGUGAGUAACACGUGAGUAACCUGCCCUUGACUCUGGGAUAAGCCUGGGAAACUGGGUCUAAUACCGGAUAUGACCUUCCAUCGCAUGGUGGUUGGUGGAAAGCUUUUGUGGUUUUGGAUGGACUCGCGGCCUAUCAGCUUGUUGGUGGGGUAAUGGCCUACCAAGGCGACGACGGGUAGCCGGCCUGAGAGGGUGACCGGCCACACUGGGACUGAGACACGGCCCAGACUCCUACGGGAGGCAGCAGUGGGGAAUAUUGCACAAUGGGCGGAAGCCUGAUGCAGCGACGCCGCGUGAGGGAUGACGGCCUUCGGGUUGUAAACCUCUUUCAGUAGGGAAGAAGCGAAAGUGACGGUACCUGCAGAAGAAGCGCCGGCUAACUACGUGCCAGCAGCCGCGGUAAUACGUAGGGCGCAAGCGUUAUCCGGAAUUAUUGGGCGUAAAGAGCUCGUAGGCGGUUUGUCGCGUCUGCCGUGAAAGUCCGGGGCUCAACUCCGGAUCUGCGGUGGGUACGGGCAGACUAGAGUGAUGUAGGGGAGACUGGAAUUCCUGGUGUAGCGGUGAAAUGCGCAGAUAUCAGGAGGAACACCGAUGGCGAAGGCAGGUCUCUGGGCAUUAACUGACGCUGAGGAGCGAAAGCAUGGGGAGCGAACAGGAUUAGAUACCCUGGUAGUCCAUGCCGUAAACGUUGGGCACUAGGUGUGGGGGACAUUCCACGUUUUCCGCGCCGUAGCUAACGCAUUAAG